AACUGAAAAUAAAAAUUGAAGCAUGAAAUAAGCAAUAAGUGGCUGAUUUUUAUUUGCAUGUUAAGCAGAAAGUUGUAGCUGAGGCUUGUAUAUUACGAAAUAUUGUCACACAUCUGAGCUUCUACUGUUGUUAGGGACAUCGUAGUGUGAUCUUCAUGAUUUUUCGCUUGAAGAUGUACUGAUUCAUUAGUCAAGCAGAGACCGAAGUCAUCUUUUGCUACCGUUAGCUCUAUGGAUGUGUAUUUACCUGCAACUUCUGCCAGCUCUAACUUGGUUAUAUACCAGUUCAAUUCAGUCAAUCUGUUGGAACUAGUUUGUCUAUUACUUGUAUCCGAUUUCAUAUCCUGCCAUAUGCCAUUGUCGACUUUCUUAGGUACAUAAUUGUUAUGUCUUGCAAUCUGGUAUUGAUGAUUGUCAAUGUAUUCAUUUAUACCUUUCUAGUGUACCUUGUAUGUGACACAGCUGAUCUGUAUAUCAAUGCUCUAUUUCCAAUAGAUGUAUGCUGAUGCCUGAUGGCUGAUUCCUUAAAACUUCACUGUUGCAGCAGUAGCAUUUUUCCUUAGUGCAUAGAUGUAUGAGCGAUCACUUAUGCUUGAAACCUUGCUCUCUUUCCCAGGAACCAUCGUGGUCUGCAUCACUACUGGGGCAGGAGAGGAAAGACUGUUGGUGUCUCCAAGAAGCGAUAAACUGCUUCACAAAGAUCCCCGCAUAGCUUCACUACUACUGUGUUGGUCCAUUUCCAGAAUCUUAAGCAGUGUUCUUGUUUAGACGAUUACCUUGGAUGAUGCUUUUGCUUAAGGAGAGGCUCAAGAAGAUCAAGGAGCUCCGCAUCCGAGUUUCAGCCAUCCUCUACAGCAAGGAGCUCUGGGCCAAAGGAGCAAGCAGCGCUGCUAGUUCCUUGAGGCCAGAUCGAGUAAGAUGGUGCACCAUGGCGUGUGGUGGUGUAUUUUGCUUCCGAGAACAGUACUGUUUAUUUGAAGUGAGAUGUACUCGUCUAGUGCCUGGCAAAAAAUUGAAGGAUGAAGUGUCAUGUACUGUCUAUGUUGUAGUGAGCUGUAGUAGGAGUGAAACGAAAAUUUAUCUGCUGUUGUAUGUGCUAUUUCCCUGUAAUGUCUUGUGUACAUUUUACUUGAACAUUAAA